rnacentral:rRNA from 1 species
UACGUAGGGGGCAAGCGUUGUCCGGAAUUAUUGGGCGUAAAGAGCUCGUAGGCGGUUCAGUAAGUCGGGUGUGAAACCCCCAGGCUCAACCUGGGGACGCCACCCGAUACUGCUGUGACUAGAGUCCAGUAGGGGAGUGUGGAAUUCCCAGUGUAGCGGUGAAAUGCGCAGAUAUCGGGAGGAACACCAGCGGCGAAGGCGGCACUCUGGGCUGGAACUGACGCUGAGGAGCGAAAGCGUGGGUAGCAAACAGG